AGAGUUUGAUCAUGGCUCAGGAUGAACGCUAGCGGGAGGCUUAACACAUGCAAGUCGAGGGGCAGCACGAGGUAGCAAUACUUUGGUGGCGACCGGCGCACGGGUGAGUAACGCGUAUGCAACCUACCCUGUACAGGGGGAUAACCCGGAGAAAUUCGGACUAAUACCCCAUAAAGAUAUCGAGGGGCAUCUUUUGAUAUUUAAAGUUUCGACGGUACGGGAUGGGCAUGCGUAACAUUAGCUAGUUGGUAAGGUAACGGCUUACCAAGGCUACGAUGUUUAGGGGUCCUGAGAGGGUGAUCCCCCACACUGGUACUGAGACACGGACCAGACUCCUACGGGAGGCAGCAGUGAGGAAUAUUGGUCAAUGGGCGUAAGCCUGAACCAGCCAUCCCGCGUGAAGGAAGAAGGCGCUAUGCGUUGUAAACUUCUUUUCCAGGGAAAGAAGACCCCCGACGUGUCGGGGCUUGCCGGUACCCUGGGAAUAAGCAUCGGCUAACUCCGUGCCAGCAGCCGCGGUAAUACGGAGGAUGCAAGCGUUAUCCGGAUUUAUUGGGUUUAAAGGGUGCGUAGGCGGAUUAAUAAGUCAGUGGUGAAAACCUUCAGCUUAACUGGAGAACUGCCAUUGAUACUGUUAGUCUUGAGUACGGUCAAGGUAGGCGGAAUGUGUAAUGUAGCGGUGAAAUGCUUAGAUAUUACACAGAACACCGAUUGCGAAGGCAGCUUACUGGGCCAUUACUGACGCUGAUGCACGAAAGCGUGGGGAGCGAACAGGAUUAGAUACCCUAGUAGUCC
rnacentral:rRNA from 1 species